rnacentral:snRNA from 1 species
GUGCAGAAGCACAUAUAUUAAAACUGGAACAAUUCAGCGAAGAUUAGCAUUGCCCCUGCACAAGGAUGACAUGCAAAUUCGUGAAGCAUUCCAUACUUUU